rnacentral:rRNA from 1 species
AUUGAACGCUGGCGGCAGGCCUAACACAUGCAAGUCGAGCGGAGCGGCGGACGGGUGCGUAAUGCCUAGGUAUCUGCCUGUUAGUGGGUGAUAACGUCCGGUAACGGGCGCUAAUACCGCAUACUUUCAGAUGAGCCUAGGGUGGUUGAGCUAGUUGGUGGGGUAAAGGCCUACCAAGGCGACGAUCCGUCGCUGGUCUGAGAGGAUGAUCAGUCACACGGGGACUGAGACACGGUCCAGACUCCUACGGGAGGCAGCAGUGGGGAAUAUGGGACAAUGGGAGAAAGCCUGAUCCAGCCAUGCCGCGUGGUGGAAGAAGGUCUUAGGGUCGUAAAGCACUUUAAGUAGGGAAGCGUUACCUACAGAAGAAGAACCGGCUAACUCAGUGCCAGCAGCCGCGGUAAUAA